CAAGCAGGAGACAAAAUGUGUGUAUCUGUGUGUGCCUGUGAAUGUUUGCGCAGGCAUGUGUGUGUGUUCCUGUGUGUGUUUGUUCCUGUGUGAGUGAGUGAAAGAAGCAGAGCAGUAGAGUGUGUGUCUGUGUGUGUGUGUGUGUGUGUGUCUGUGUGUGUGUGUGUCUGUGUGUGUGUGUGUGUCUGUGUGUGUGUGUGUGUGUGUGUGUGUCUGUGUGUGUGUGUCUGUGUGUGUGUGUGUGUGUGUGUGUUGCCUGUAUGUGAGAGCGUGAAUGAGCGAGGAAGGGAGAGAGAGGACAUGUACGUGGGUGUGUGUGUGUGUGUGGUGUGUGUGUGUGUGUGUGUGUGUGUGUGUGUUACAGCAGCACAAUAUGUGCCUGUGCUGAAUGAAAGGGAAAUGAAUGCGGUGUGUGUGUCUGUGUGUGAGUGUGUGCUAUGGAAGAGGGUGUGUGUGUCCUUUAUUAGAACUGUGUGUGUGUGUGUACUUGUGUGUAGUUUGUGAAGACUGUACAACAGUGUGUUGCUGUAAAUGUGCACAGCGAAUGUUUGUCUUCGGUGAAGAUUGUGUAGCUGUGUGAAAAAGUGUGUGUGUGUGUGUGGUGUGCGUGCGUAGUUGCACGUUUGUGUACGCAAAUACACACUUGUAUUGAGGCUAUUGGUGCGGGUGAUGAAGUGUUCAUGAUCGUGUGCACACGCAAACAGAGCAGAAUUACAAUUAAACCAAACUCCUUCAGCAGCCACCAGACCUCCAUCCUCCUCCUCCUUCUUCUCCUCCUCCCUCCUCCUCCUUCUUCUCCUCCUCCAUCCUUCUCCUCCUCCUCCUCCUUCUUCUCCUCCAUCCUUCUCCUCCUCCUCCUUCUCCUUCUUAUUCUCCUCCUCCUCCUCCAUCCUUCUCCUCCUCCUUCUUCGUCUCCUCCUCCUCCAUCCUUCUCCUUCUCCUUCUUCUUCUCCUCCUCCUCCUCCAUCCUUCUCCUCCUCCUCCUUCUCCUCCUCCUCCUUCUUCUCUUUCUCCUUCUCCUUCUCCUCCUCAUACUCCUUCUUCUUCUCCUUCUCCUUCUCCCCUCAGCCCUGCGCCAUAUCCAAGCACCUUGAUGACUGUUACCUCCUCCUGCACAUGUCAGCAGGAGUGAAGUGGUUUUUCAUCAUCUCUCCUCAAGAUAGAGUUUUCUACCCGUCGAGUGUCCUCAAGAUGAGGAAUCAGCCAUCGGCCCCAAGAUCUCCCAGCGUGGAGACCAGUCUGCAGCUGACGGGGUUAAUUAACAGGUUAGACUGAAUCGGUGUGC
ensembl:lncRNA